rnacentral:tRNA from 1 species
GGCUUCGUGGUGUAAUGGUUAUCACACUCGGCUCCUAUUCGAGAUGUCUGUGGUUCGAGUCCCGGUGAGGGCA